UACGUAGGGUGCGAGCGUUGUCCGGAUUUAUUGGGCGUAAAGGGCUCGUAGGCGGCGUGUCGCGUCGGGAGUGAAAGACCGGGGCUUAACCCCGGUUCUGCUUCCGGUACGGGCAUGCUGGAGUGUGGCAGGGGAGACUGGAAUUCCUGGUGUAGCGGUGGAAUGCGCAGAUAUCAGGAGGAACACCGGUGGCGAAGGCAGCUCGCUGGGACGUUACUGACGCUGAGACGCGAAAGCGUGGGGAGCAAACAGG
rnacentral:rRNA from 1 species